rnacentral:tRNA from 1 species
GUGGGUGUAGCUCAGGUGGUUAGAGUGCAAGAUUGUGAUUCUUGAUGUCGUGGGUUCGAAUCCCAUCACCCACCCCA